rnacentral:rRNA from 1 species
GACGAACGCUGGCGGCGUGCUUAACACAUGCAAGUCGAACGGUGACGGCAGAGCUUGCUCUGCCUGAUCAGUGGCGAACGGGUGAGUAACACGUGAGUAACCUGCCCCUCACUUCGGGAUAACCUCGGGAAAUCGUGGCUAAUACCGGAUAUGAGACCUGACUGCAUGGUCGGGUCUGGAAAGAUUUAUCGGUGGGGGAUGGACUCGCGGCCUAUCAGCUUGUUGGUGAGGUAACGGCUCACCAAGGCGACGACGGGUAGCCGGCCUGAGAGGGCGACCGGCCCAACCGGGAAGGGAGAACGGCCGAGGACCCUACGGGGGGCAGGCGGGGGGAAUAAUGCCAAAGGGGGGAAAAGCGAAUGAAGGGGCGCCGCGGGGGGGGUUAAGGGCUUUGGGGUGUAAACCUUUUUAAGGGGGGAAAAAGGAAAAGGGACGGAACCUGCAAAAGAAGGGGCGGAAAAAUAUG